UACGUAGGGUACGAGCGUUAAUCGGAAUUACUGGGCGUAAAGCGUGCGCAGGCGGUUCGUUAAGUUCGUUGUGAAAGCCCCGGGCUCAACCUGGGAAUGGCAAUGGAAACUGGCGAGCUUGAGUGUGGCAGAGGGGGGUGGAAUUCCGCGUGUAGCAGUGAAAUGCGUAGAGAUGCGGAGGAACACCGAUGGCGAAGGCAGCUCGCUGGGACGUGACUGACGCUGAGACGACGAAAGCGUGGGGAGCAAACAGG
rnacentral:rRNA from 1 species